AUUGGCCAAAAUUUUUCAUCAUUUUUUAAUUCAAAACUUCCAUUCCCCCAAAAUCUCCCUCUCUCUCAUUUUCCUCAAAUCAGCUUCUCUGUUGGUCCCCCCUCCCAAGUUGACUCCAUUUCCCUCAAAUUGACUUUGUGGUCGGCCAUUGCUACGCCGGCCGACCAUUGCAAUUGAGCUGGACUCCGAGAUUAUCCAGACUCUGAGGGAGAAGCAUUUAACAGAGAUCACUGCUUUAUACGAGUGAAUUGCUUCUUCAGUACAACAGCCAAGUGAUGCGGCUAGUGGACCCAUUUCGCCCAUUGAUGCAAGGAGAUCACAUGAUGAUAAUGAUCCUAAUGACAUUCUUUGAUUUUGUUGCAUUUGUUUUGGAUAUUCAAUUAUGAUGAUGUAAUUGUGUGGUUGGAGUGAAUCUUAGAAUAUUGUAGGUUUUGUGUUUAAAUUUAAUUUUGUAGUUUAAAAAUACUAGUUAAUGUUGAAAAUUUGGAGUUUGAAGAUGUUAAUGUUGACAAUUUAAUUUUGAAGUUUAAUGUUCAAUGUAUUUUUUAUAUGCUUGUCAAUUGCAAUGUUUAAUUAUUCUGUUGUAAUAAUGAUAUAUGAAUUGAACAAAUAUUGG